rnacentral:rRNA from 1 species
UACGAAGGGGGGCUAGCGUUGCUCGGAUUCACUGGGCUUAAAGGGCGCGUAGGCGGCUCCGCGAGUCAGGGGUGAAAUCGUCCGGCCCAACCGGACAAGUGCCCCUGAUACUGCGGGGGCUCGAGGGGGGGUAGGGGCAUGCGGAACUUCCGGUGGAGCGGUGAAAUGCGUAGAUAUCGGAAGGAACGCCGGUGGCGAAAGCGGCGUGCUGGACCCCUCCUGACGCUGAGGCGCGAAAGCCAGGGGAGCGAACGGG